rnacentral:rRNA from 1 species
UGGGGAAUUUUGGACAAUGGGCGAAAGCCUGAUCCAGCAAUGCCGCGUGUGUGAAGAAGGCCUUCGGGUUGUAAAGCACUUUUGUCCGGAAAGAAAUCCUUGGCUCUAAUACAGUCGGGGGAUGACGGUACCGGAAGAAUAAGCACCGGCUAACUACGUGCCAGCAGCCGCGGUAAUACGUAGGGUGCAAGCGUUAAUCGGAAUUACUGGGCGUAAAGCGUGCGCAGGCGGUUUGCUAAGACCGAUGUGAAAUCCCCGGGCUCAACCUGGGAACUGCAUUGGUGACUGGCAGGCUAGAGUAUGACAGAGGGGGGUUAGAAUUCCACGUGUAGCAGUGAAAUGCGUAGAGAUGUGGAGGAAUACCGAUGGCGAAGGCAGCCCCCUGGGCCAAUACUGACGCUCAUGCACGAAAGGCGUGGGGAGCAAAGCAGGAUUAGAUACCCUGGUAGUCCACGCCCUAAACGAUGUCAACUAGUUGUUGGGGAUUCAUUUCCUAGUAACGUAGCUAACGCGUGAAGUUGACCGCCUGGGGAGUACGGUCGCAAGAUUAAAACUCAAAUGAAUUGACGGGGUCAUAGCUGUUUCCU